AGUGAACGCUGGCGGUAGGCCUAACACAUGCAAGUCGAACGGCAGCACAGUAAGAGCUUGCUCUUACGGGUGGCGAGUGGCGGACGGGUGAGGAAUACAUCGGAAUCUACUUUUUCGUGGGGGAUAACGUAGGGAAACUUACGCUAAUACCGCAUACGACCUACGGGUGAAAGCAGGGGAUCUUCGGACCUUGCGCGAUUGAAUGAGCCGAUGUCGGAUUAGCUAGUUGGCGGGGUAAAGGCCCACCAAGGCGACGAACCGUAGCUGGUCUGAGAGGAUGAUCAGCCACACUGGAACUGAGACACGGGCCAGACUCCUACGGGAGGCAGCAGUGGGGAAUAUUGGACAAUGGGCGCAAGCCUGAUCCAGCCAUACCGCGUGGGUGAAGAAGGCCUUCGGGUUGUAAAGCCCUUUUGUUGGGAAAGAAAAGCAGCAGGUUAAUACCCCGCUGUUCUGACGGUACCCAAAGAAUAAGCACCGGCUAACUUCGUG
rnacentral:rRNA from 1 species